rnacentral:misc_RNA from 1 species
AAAGUCGUAACAAGGUUUCCGUAGGUGAACCUGCGGAAGGAUCAUUACAGUAUGAUUAGAGGAGUUGAUGCUGGCCUUAUAUUAAGGCAUGUGCUCGCUCUUCGACUUCAAUCCACAUACACCUGUGCACCCAUGGCGAGUUUAGUGCCUCAGUAUAGUUUUCGGACUGUGACUUGGGACUGGCUUGUCAUACCUUAUACACAUUAAUACCAGUUAAAUGCAUGUCUUACCGCUCUACGGAGCAAAACAUUAUACAACUUUCAACAACGGAUCUCUUGGCUUUC